rnacentral:rRNA from 1 species
AUCGAACGCUGGCGGCAGGCCUAACACAUGCAAGUCGAACGAGUGGCGGACGGGUGAGUAAUGUCUGGGAAACUGCCCGAUGGAGGGGGAUAACUACUGGAAACGGUAGCUAAUACCGCAUACCAUCGGAUGUGCCCAGAUGGGAUUAGCUAGUAGGUGGGGUAAUGGCGCACCUAGGCGACGAUCCCUAGCUGGUCUGAGAGGGUGACCGGCCACACUGGAACGGAGACACGGCCCAGACUCCAACGGGGGGCAGCAGUGGGAAAUAUUGGACAAUGGGCGAAGGCCUGAUGCAGCCAUGCCGCGUGUUUGAAGAAGGCCUUGGGGUUGUAAAGUACUUUCAUCGAGGAGGCGUUACUCGCAGAGGAAGCACCGGCUAACUCCGUGCCAGCCGCCGCGGUAAUAC